ACUUCUAAGUGUUUGAAAAGAUUACAUAUAUACUAAAUCUAGUGUAGUAUUCAGUUAGCUCUCUCUUUUCAUCUGAGUCACAUCUGGAUGUCCUUUUGCAGUUGCCAAGACAAGCAAGUGUAUUCAGGGAAAUAAACACAUAAAGUAAGACAACAUUGACAUAUGCAGAAAUGGACAGGACAGAAUUCCAGUCAUCUAGCCCCAGUGUCCCAAACUUCAUUGAGAUGGACCACAAGUCACCCAAUCUCACCAUUGUGCUGUUCGGAAGCACAUCUGCAGUCUACUUUGGAAAAGAGAACUUCCUACUCAGACGAGAGCAGCCUAGUCAAUCUGGCAGGGACUUCUCUCUGGUCGUUCCCAGGCGAAACAUAUUAGGACGCAAUG